CGGGCCAGACUCCUACGGGAGGCAGCAGUAAGGAAUAUUGGUCAAUGGGGGCAACCCUGAACCAGCCAUGCCGCGUGCAGGAUGACGGCCCUAUGGGUUGUAAACUGCUUUUAUACCAGAGAAAACCCGAGUACGUGUACUCGGUUGAUAGUAUGGUGAGAAUAAGCAUCGGCUAACUUCGUGCCAGCAGCCGCGGUAAGACGAAGGAUGCAAGCGUUAUCCGGAUUCAUUGGGUUUAAAGGGAGCGUAGGUGGACUGCUAAGUCAGUGGUGAAAUCUUCGAGCUUAACUCGGAAAUUGCCAUUGAUACUGUUGGUCUUGAGUACAGUUGCUGUGGGCGGAAUAUGACAUGUAGUGGUGAAAUACAUAGAGAUGUCAUAGAACACCGAUUGCGAAGGCAGCUCACAAAGCUGUAACUGACACUGAGGCUCGAAAGUGCGGGGAUCAAACAGGAUUAGAUACCCUGGUAGUCCGCACCGUAAACGAUGAUUACUCGCUGCUAGAUGGCAACAUUUAGUGGCUUAGCGAAAGCGAUAAGUAAUCCACCUGGGGGAGUACG
rnacentral:rRNA from 1 species